UCAUCCAGACUCAAAGAGGAGGGGACAUUGGAGCCAUGUUUUAAAAUUGUCAUGCUAUUUAUCAGGGAACUCGAAGAAAAGUGGGGAAGAUGGGGAGAGGAACAAGUUGAGAGGGGGAGGUUAUGUGUUUGGACAUCUUAAGUAUAGAUGUCUGUUAGGCGUUCAAGAGGAUAUAUUGGUUCAACUGUGGAAGACCUUGUGAAAAAAGAGGUGCCCCACGGAAGACGCACAUAAAGUCCGACCCCGAGACCUCGGCGCUAAUGCUUACGUCAUGUUGCGGCAGCAUCGGGCAACAACUGAGGGAGUGGAACCAGCAAGGAUGUUUUCAGGGACUGCACAAAAGCCGAUAUGAGACAUGGCCGCUGUGAUUUAUGGGAAUCAGUGUCCCAACUUAGUCAAGUAGAGUGAGUCUUACAAGUCUUUCAGUGUGAUAUCAAUGUAGAUCAUUAAUGGGAAGAAACAUUUUAUAAUAGGAUUGAAUUUAAUGAAUUCUGCGGUAUGUUUCCUCUGUGCGAUGGAGACCUGUCAUUCAAACUCCAAAUGCAACUCAGUGUCUUAGUCUGAUAAAAAAAAAAAAAGAAAAGAAAAGAAGAGUCUCUCUUUGACAGAGUUUUACAGAAGCAUUUGCUCUUGCCGGUAUUCAUGGGGUGCCAAGGCGUGGUAUUACUCACUGGCUCCUGUCUUGUGAGUCAGGGAAAAGAUUUCAAGCAUCUACCAGGUGGCAAACACUGCACCAGUUGCUCUGAAGUUAAAUGAAAUGGAAGAGAAGGACCCUGUUCUUGUUAAGGAGACAAGGCUAAACCUCUGAAAGAAUGUAAAACAUUACAAAUUAAAUAUAUU